CCUACGGGUGGCAGCAGUGAGGAAUAUUGGUCAAUGGCCGGAAGGCUGAACCAGCCAUGCCGCGUGAAGGUCAGUGCCCUAUGGGCGUUAAACUUCUUUUGUGCGGGAGCAAUAAUGGUCACGUGUGGGAUUUUGUAUGUACCAUAUGAAUAAGGAUCGGCUAACUCCGUGCCAGCAGCCGCGGUAAUACGGAGGAUCCGAGCGUUAUCCGGAUUUAUUGGGUUUAAAGGGUGCGUAGGCGGGCUGUUAAGUCAGCGGUAAAAGCCCGGGGCUCAACCCCGGCGAGCCGUUGAACCUGGCUGUCUUGAGAUGUCGAGAGGUAUGCGGAAUGCGCAGUGUAGCGGUGAAAUGCUUAGAUAUUGCGCAGAACUCCGAUUGCGAAGGCAGCAUACCGGCGGCGAUCUGACGCUGAGGCACGAAAGCGUGGGUAUCGAACAGGAUUAGAUACCCUUGUAGUC
rnacentral:rRNA from 1 species